rnacentral:rRNA from 1 species
UCCUUAGAUGUUCUGGGCCGCACGCGCGCUACACUGACGAAUGCAACGAGCUUAUAACCUUGGCCGAAAGGUCUGGGUAAUCUCCAAAUUUCGUCGUGAUGGGGAUAGAUUAUUGCAAUUAUUAAUCUUCAACGAGGAAUGCCUAGUAAGCGCAAGUCAUCAGCUUGCGUUGAUUACGUCCCUGCCCUUUGUACACACCGCCCGUCGCUCCUACCGAUUGAAUGGUCCGGUGAAGCGUUCGGACCGUGGCCUUUGGACGGUUCGCCGUCUGUUGGCUGCGGGAAGUUCGUUAAACCUUNUNAUUUAGNGGAAGGAGAANUCGUANCA